rnacentral:rRNA from 1 species
GGUGGCUUUUGGGCUGUCGCAGAUGGAUGAGCCUGCGUUGGAUUAGCUAGUUGGUGGGGUAAGGGCCUACCAAGGCUACGAUCCAUAGCUGAUUUGAGAGGAUGAUCAGCCACAUUGGGACUGAGACACGGCCCAAACUCCUACGGGAGGCAGCAGUGAGGAAUAUUGGACAAUGGGGGCAACCCUGAUCCAGCAAUGCCAUGUGUGUGAAGAAGGCCUUAGGGUUGUAAAGCACUUUAGUUGGGGAAGAAAGCUUUGAGGUUAAUAGCCUUGAGGAAGGACGUUACCCAAAGAAUAAGCACCGGCUAACUCCGUGCCAGCAGCCGCGGUAAUACGGGGGGUGCAAGCGUUAAUCGGAAUUACUGGGCGUAAAGAGUCUGUAGGUGGUUUGUUAAGUCAGAUGUGAAAGCCCAGGGCUCAACCUUGGAACUGCAUUUGAUACUGGCAAACUAGAGUACGGUAGAGGAAUGGGGAAUUUCUGGUGUAGCGGUGAAAUGCGUAGAGAUCAGAAGGAACACCAAUGGCGAAGGCAACAUUCUGGACCGAUACUGACACUGAGGGACGAAAGCGUGGGGAUCAAACAGGAUUAGAUACCCUGGUAGUCCACGCUGUAAACGAUGAGUACUAGCUGUUGGAGUCGGUGUAAAGGCUCUAGUGGCGCAGCUAACGCGAUAAGUACUCCGCCUGGGGACUACGGCCGCAAGGCUAAAACUCAAAGGAAUUGACGGGGACCCGCACAAGCGGUGGAGCAUGUGGUUUAAUUCGAUGCAACGCGAAGAACCUUACCUGGUCUUGACAUCCUGCGAACUUUCUAGAGAUAGAUUGGUGCCUUCGGGAACGCAGUGACAGGUGCUGCACGGCUGUCGUCAGCUCGUGUUGUGAAAUGU